UUUCUCUUUGGGAACUCAGUGCUUAUGCUGAAGCUGAGGCUUUCCUGGAGGGGUCUGGCUGAAUACUGAUAUCCAACUUCCUAUAGAAAAAACCCUAACUUCAUUGUUCAGAGACAUUGUUCAUUUCUCUUCCUUCAAGAAACACCAAUGACAGAGACCUUACAUCUGCUGGUGUUCUGCAGAACUGAUAUCCUCUUCUUGCUUCCAUACCGAGCCUGUACCAGCGACAGACUGUGAGCAGCUGGAGGGAAGCUGGUGCAUUCAGACAAAGCCUAAAAAUUCUCAUGAGGAUUUUCCCGUGUGAUCCCAGCAUCCACGUCUUGCGGCCUUGCAGUAAGGAUAAAAUGUCAGUGCCGAUAGAUAGAAAAUCACCCCUGUUACCUCUACCCUGAAGCAUGCCAUCAGGAUAUUUAUGCUCUUCAGAAGAUGGAUGAUUGGAGUUCAGGAGCGCUGGGCACUGUGCUCCAUGCAUGUAACUGCAGAAAGAACUGCUGGCCAGUGUGCUUGGUUUUAUGAAACAGCUGAUGAAAGGCUCAGCAGACUCAUCUAAACCCUGAUAUCUCUAAACAUUGUUUCCUAGUGGUAAGAAAUCUUCUUUAACGAUCUCAUGUGGGUAUUAUUGUCAAAGCAUUUAUUUACUCACUCAUAAAUCAGGCAGAGGUGUAGCUUGCUGCUGGUCCUACAGGCACUGGAGUGAAUGCAGGAGAAAUUGGUCUGUGGGUUCUCCCCUGGUUGAAAAGGCUCCAUGCUGAUGUACCUGCCCAGGUUGCUCUGUUUAUCUGGAGUGAAACUCUUUGAUUCUUGGGACAAUAUUUGAAGGAAUAUCUUAAUCUUGCUCUACUUGCAUUGCUCAGGUUUGGAUCUGGACCUAAAUGGCUCCAAACCACUUAAAUAGAAGGAGAGAUUUUUGUCCAACUCAAAGGAGGUUUUCUUUCCGUAUUUCUUUAAGGCCUUCUUUGCUUUCAAAAAAUGACCUAUAAAGGUCCAGUGCUUUGCUGGGUAAUGUUUUUGCCUUUCAUUUAGGGUCUUUGUUAUCCCUAUUGGUAGAAUAAUGUUUGAGGAACUGUUGUGUGCCUGUGGUUGAUUUAUGAAGCUGUGUGAUGGCACAGAAAGAUUCAGAUUGUUUAAACAAGCAGAAGUAGUGCUAUUGUUCUUAAGUGCCCCUAAAAGUACCAACAAAUCUUUUUCUGUUUUCUGGCUGUUAGGUGUGUGAAACUACUGAGAAAUAUUAAUUGGACGUGUUUGUGUAUCUAUAAAACAGAUUUUUCAAUCACGAAUUUUGCUGCACCAACUUUCCAUUGAUAACUUUUUAAAUUAAAUUUGAUUUGUGGUUGUUUUUGUUUGUUUGUUUGUUUGUUCCCAGCAUAGCACCAAAUGAGGCUUUGAAAUGCCUGUAAUAAUUUUACCCUUGAAGAACAAUCUUUUGUCAUACCUUCUUGCAAUGCAAACGUCACACGUUGUCCUGAUCCUGUGCUACAACAUAUGCUUUGCUCUGUGGUUCCAAGGCUGCUUGUCAGCACAGACACACAUGCUGUAAAUAGUUGGUAAGAAAAUAAUUGUGCCAUAUGGUUUUAGUGGUGUUGCAAAACUUGUGAUUUUAAAAUCUUUCCUUUUUUUUUUUUUUCCUGUUUAACUUUAAGCAUAUGGUAGCAGUGAGCAUGCUAUAACUUGUGCCAUAAAGCAAACUCAGGUUAAUGCCAAGUAUAUCUACCAUAUGUAUAUUCAUGGUAUCAUCAUACUAGUAUUAGUUAGAGGGAUAAUACACAUCUACAAAAAUAGCUGCAACCAUAUUUUUCCCCAUGGAAGAGCAGCUCGUUAAAACAUUGAGGAGUAAUGAUUGCUUGUGAUUCUCUCCUCUCCAAGUUCUGCAUAAUGGAGUACUACACACUUUCAAUAUAACAAUAAAAUAUCCCCAUCUACAUUUAUUGCGAAAAUGACAAAUUGUGUUUUCCAGUUUUGUCUAAGUGAGCUCUGGGUGUAUUGCCUUGGAAAAUUAGUAUUUGACAACCUGGUGUGAGGUGGAUACUAUCAUAGUACAUUAAUAAUGGCCGAUGCUGUUUGAUGGAGUGAUCUUGGUUCGCCAUGUUCUGGGCUCAUAAAAAUAAUCUCAGCACUGAUAAUAUUUAUGUGAGCACUAAGAACCCUGACAGAACGCUGUAACUAAAUUGAUUUUAUUAAUAAUACAAUAGAUCAUUAAUGACAAUCGUGCUUGAAAGGAACAUAGAAAUACUGUAAAUGAGGUUUCCCUCUGUCUCGCUUACCAUGCUGCCGUCUUAAAAUUACUUACUUUAUUAAGGAGAAUAACAAGUAAAUACAUAAUGAGAAUGCACACAGGCACCUUAUGAGAAGUGCUGCAGAGUAAUAGUGUGCUUAAACUGAGUUAUGUGCGGCAGCUUCCUGCGUUUUGUCCUCCAGCAGUAGCUGUCUGCUCUUAGUGCUCCAGGGAAGGCAGUUUUUUUUUUGGCUGGAGCACAUCUGAGCCUAAUAAUCUGUUCAGAUUAUUUCAUUACUUUGAAAAACGUAUUCUUAAAUGUAAUCCACAGUGCAGGGUUGUGGUGGGGCAGUGCCUUCAGAGGUGAAUGGGAGCUCUCACAGCCUCUUGUGCUCUACCCGCUGCUGUGACUGGUGGCACUGGAUGGUGUAUCUGUUAGUUGGGAAAAUUAAGCUAGUGAGAAAAAAGGUAACACAUAACAUUAACCCUCUUAGUGCUUUGUCAGGUUAGACUUGAAGCCAGGAAGAGUAUUUUGAAUGAAACAAACUAAGUUGAGCCAGAAGAAGGGACUCUUAAAAGGAUGAGCAUAUAUAUGGAGCUUCCAAUUCAUGGUCCUUGUCCAAUUCCUUGGUAAUUACUUUUCAUGGAAAAAUUUAUCACAUUUAAAAUUAAAUGAAAGAUUCUGGCACAGUUAGGGUUUCUUUCUUGAAUCACUUUUUUUUUUUCCUCCAGUAAACCACGUGUAGAAACGAACAAAAGAUGUUGGACAAAAAUAGGCAAAAGAAUUGAUUCUGAAAACUGGGCUUUGAUGGAGAAGAGGGAGAGCAAACAAGAUCUGACCCAGACCUGCUGAAGGCCAGCAAAUCUCCUUAAAAGCUGUUGAGGUGGCAGAAAACAAACCCAAUCCAAGCACAAAAAGAAUUAGUUGGAGGGGAAAAAAAGGUUUUGUACAGCUAAAAGAACACUUAAACCUCUAGCUGCUCUGUAUGCUUCCAAAAAGUGUUGCGGAAGUGUAGAAAGUGAGUGACUAUACACUUCCUGAAAGGAUUGCAUGUACAGAAGUGCAGAGGUAAUUAAAACCAGCGUGACACUAUUGAUUAUUUUGGGUUGGAGAGGAUCUUGCUUUAUAGCCCAAGUGCAGGGAAAUGGAAGAGAGAAAGGUACGUGUUCUUGUGACCUGGUUUUCUGACGACUCUAAAAGGGGGAAACCUUAAGAACAGAAAACACGAAAGGCUUCAGUCUUCCUGAAAAUGAAGAGAUAUGUCUUCAUUCAUAUGAUACCUACUUAUGUAUGUGUAUAUUAUCUCUUUAUAUAAAUACAUAAAGCAGAAAGAUUUAUGCAGGUGUAAACUAUAUGCCUCCUCAUGAACAACUGUAUCCAUAGAUCCUUGCUCAAAGUCUUACUAGUAGUUAACAAUCAGUUAAAUUUGUUGAUCACAUGUCAUGGAUGGCACAAAAUGGCACAAGUGACAUUGGUGUGUCUUUGCACCAAGUACAAGAUGUCAUGUAUAUGGCCCUCGUGACUGAAUCAAGUGGUUUUAUGUCUGUGGCUCAAGCCUGGAGCUUUAGUCACCUUUUGGAAUGGUGUCACCAAAAAGUAAGGCCACCCACAAGUUUGUACAAGGUGCAAAAUGAAAAAUGAGCCUGGAUUGUGUGCUCAUGCUGAUGUGUGGAGCUCUUGACCUUCAGGAGAAAGCCUUCCUGAUAAAUACUGGAGGCCCCAUGCAAUGAUGCUAUGGGUGUGGGAGUGUGGCGUGUCCAACAGCCUUACUUGCCUGCUAUGCAAAUCUUUCACAUCCAGCGUGCUGCAAUUAUUUUUCCAUACCAGACCAUUGUUAUAAACUAUAUGUUUGAAAAAGAGAGGAAGAAGGCUCUCAAAAGGUGCAUCUUUGUUGUCCUGGAGAUUUUCAAAAGCAAGGUGAAACAGGGAGGCAGGUAAAUAAGAUUAGUGAAAGACACAGUAUUAUGGACCAGCAUAGUGACAGAGACUGAUUAUAGCUGAAAAGAUUCUGUCCUUAAAAAAGUGGGGAAGAAAGUACCAACCUUUCAGUCAGAACAGUUGAAAAGUAUUAUACAGUAAUUCACACGUUCUCUGGAGCUCUGGUACUCCUUGUGCUGCCUCAAAUCUUGAGUAAACUUUGGUUUUGAUUAGAAGUCUUACUAACAUAAAAAAUGUUUGUGGUGGUUUUUUUUAUUAGUUUUAAAUAAAUACUUCUAUUGUGUUUCUUUUAUUUCUCCCCCUGUUUUCCAUUUUUCUCCCCCUCUUUUCCCUUUUUCUCCCCUUCUUUCCCUGUUGGCAGCGAGUUGGGGACAGCCUGGUCCUCUGUAGAGGAGGUGGGUCACAUCGGGUGCCUCUGUGUGAACAAUGCUGCUUCUAAAUUGCGCUGUGGAGAGCCCUUCUCCUGAUGGUACUUACUGGUUUGUGUACUGAGGAAAACACAGGUUCAUGCUAAUGUUGUGAUUUCCAUUUGUUUACAUUUAGAAAGCCUAGCCAGGGCUUUAGAUAUUAGUUCUCCAGCACUUUGCUUAGCAAAAUAGGAUGCUGCAGAUGCAACUUGUUUUUGUUUCUGUGUCUUUGAACAACUGAUUUUAUAGCUGCUUGAAUGUGAAUUUUGGCAGAUGAGAGGGUUGCUUGGCAACUAGGCUGCACUGUUUGUGCUGGUACCUGCCACAUGGCUUCCUGGCUUCCCAGGGUGAGCACAGCAUGGGACUACAAUGUUUCUGUUCCUAUUUAUUGCCCGCACUGAGGGCAGAUAUUGGUCCUUGCUGCAUCCCAUGCUCACCAGCAUGAUGGACCCUUCUGCAGAGGUUUUACGGCAUUUACCAGUCGUGGUGCUGAAUAUUCCAUGAAGUAGAAUGGAGCUGAUGGCUCAUCUCUUCUUCUCUUUAAGUUGUAGCCUGUCUGACUUUCCAACCAGGAAGGGAAGGUCUAUGAUGAUGAUCUUUUGGAAUGAUCAUUAACUUCAAGAAUUGAUGUGGGUAAAUAGUUACUGAAGGAGUGAGAUUACCAUUUCUGGAAGAAGACAUAACAUUGGAGUGGUCCACGAAGCACUGUUGCCAGCACUGCCAUGCAUGCAUGGCCCAUUGGUGUAUCUGUCUAUCCUUAAGGAAAAGCCAAUCGCAUAAAGAUAAAAAGUCUAGCAUUAUGGCAUAUGGAUCCCCUGCUUCAAAUCAUACAGUACACAGUACCAAGGGAAGCACCCUUCUUGUGCUCUGUGCUGUUCCUUUAGCUUUGCCCAUGAGUCUCUUAAAAAAUAAUAAUAAGAAGAAAGAACAGGUACAAGUGUUAUUUUCUUUCUCAACCCAAGUGCUUUGGUGUGAAAGAGUUUGGUAAUUAGCUAGGGUUAGUUUCAGGAGGUGAGCUGAUUGCUACCUCCUACUUCAUCCUCCUGAGGGAAAUUUUGAUCAUAAAAUUCAAAGGCUGACCUUGGUUUGAGUUUUAUAAGGAAUAUUGCAUUCGGUUUGACCUUCACGAUCUAGAUUGAAAAAGAUGAAAGGAUUAGCUGGAAUUGCACACUAUGCCUAGCGUCCAAGGAGGGGAAAAAAUAGCUAAAACCCUGUACCUAUAAAUUAUACAUGAGAAGCCUUGUAUGCUAAUGCUGUAAUCUUAUGUCACCAGGCUUCUUGCAUUAGCUGGAUGUGUAGGACUCCUAUUAGGUGAAUAGUAACAGUUGCUUUAAAAAUAACACAUGCAAUGAAUAGUCCUGGGGGGAGGAGAUAUAAUUUUUAUAAAGUGAAAAACCUAGACUGUAUAGAAUAUUUGCAACAGCAUCUAGUUUUAUAAAAGCACAAGAUUUGAAAAAGCACUAUAGCUUACUGCCAAACUGUAUUUUUGGUUUGGUUUUUUUAAUAGCUGUAGCAAAAUGUAUGAUUCUGGUUUUAAUGGGGGGAAUGCACUGUGCUCCCCAAGCCCUCUGGUUAAUGCCAUCAGUGGAAGGUGAUGCUUUGCUGCUGCUCCCUGCUCAGAUACCUCUGAGCAGGGAGGUCCCUCCCAGCAUGUGUUGGCAUGGUCCUAAGGAAAGAAGGUACUUUCAGUAAUUAACUUAAUUGAUGGUCUCUGUCAAACAGCUAGUACUGCUGUUAGCCCUGUGAACUGCUACCCAAAUCCUUCAUGUGAGGGAAGGUGGAUAAAAUCUGACCCUAAAUAACUUCAAGGUCCACAGACAGCUCAAGUGUUGAACAAAUAAUGCUUCUUCCCCAUUGCUGCUUAGGUCUGGGUGAUGCCAUUCUGCAGAGCUGUGUUGGUUCUCACAGAUUGGACUUUUAUUUCUUUUACAUACAGGUUUUUUUUUCUUUUUAAAUUGACAAUACCGAAAAAAAUAUGAUUAUUGAGUGAAGAGAAACAUCAGUGUAGAAAAUUGACAGGUAAGGAAUAGGGGUUCUUGUACAACAUCUACUGAUUUGAUUUAUGGAUGAAAAAAGUGUUUCUGUAGAACUUACUGAUGCUUAUUACAGGGGGAAAAAAAAACCAACACAUGUUAAAGCUAUUUUAGUACUAAGCUUUUUUUCUGUUAGUCUCAGGGUCCACUCAGUGUCAUCUGAUUAUAACAGUAAGUAGAGCUCUUGCUCUAUUUAAAUACCAGGUGCUAACAGAAUAUCACUAAUCUGACAAUUUCAUUUCAUCACUCACCUGUUAAUUUGAAAAAUCUGAACUCAAAUUAUUGGAACCGUUCUUCAGUAACUGAGGAGCAGCUCUUACUGCAGCAUGCCUGAUUUUUCCUCCACAUCUUUUACCUUCAUUACUGAUGUUUAUUCUCUGCACUCCGAAGUGUGUUCUCCUAUCCUGAAGCCUUCCACUCCUACACCAGGUACCAGCGUUUUCAGGAUGGUGUGUACACCCUCAGCUCCAUGGAGCUGAACAUAAUAUAAUUCUGAAAUGUAAAUUGUCUGGCUUUUCUUUCUUUUCCCUUAUUCAUUGGAAUGUCAGUAAUUUUAAGGAUGUUUUGCAGUGUUUUCCAGCUUUUGUUGUAUAUCCUACUGCUGUAAUAGCAUGCUCAGAGCAACUUCAUUUUCUGGGUGUAGUAGUCCAAUAACUUCUUAAAGCAACAUGAGGCGUGUCUUGGCCUGCUCUGUUGUGACCACUGACCAGGCUGUUUGUCACUAGCUUGAAUAAUCCCAUUUGUUGGGAAGCCCAAGGGGUGGGACCCUCUUCAUUACUUGGGCAGGUUAAACUUCUAGACAUUGUGCCUUUUGGUAGCCAGUGAUUUUUUUCCCAGUGGUAUAACCUGGGGUGAAAUUGCUUCCACUCAGUUAAACAAUUCCAAACAGAUUGGAGCAUACCCAAAGCCAACUGGAGCAGCACGUGAGGCCCAGAUUGCUGUUUUCCUGUGUUGAGACUUGGAGCCUCUACAAAUCAAAUCUUGGUUCUCUGACAACCUCAGUUUGCUUCAAUGCUUAUAAAGAUGUGUAAGUCAAGAUGGUUAAAAGAAAAAGAAAAAGAAAAAGAAAAAAAUAAAAAGAGAACUUGGGGGAAAAAGCAGGGAAGGUCCAUGAGAUGCUCAAAUAAGCUGUUCCCUUAUGCUCACUCUAAGUGAUGUUCUGGAUGCUCUGAGGGAUUGUUCUAGGAGAAGCAAUCUGUAAAUGGAGCGAGAAGCUGGUGUUUAUUCUGGCAGCCCUUCCCCUUGUGUAAAACUCUUCGCUAUCUGUACAUGAAUAUAUAGAUGUAUUUUUUUUUUCUUUCUCUGUGGGGCCGUUCAUACUCAUCUAAUUCUGAAAAUAAAACAUCUUUUUGGUGCUAAAUUUGCUUCAAAAUAUGGCAAUUUCAGGAUUUGGGAUAAUGCUCGGAAAGGCAUGGAAGGGAGUCUUGCUCAUGGCCGUGACAGUGGUGGAGGCUGCACAACUGCCACGCAGAGGCUGGUGUUGAUUUUCCUACUUUGAAUAAAAUGUAAGGGAAUUCCAGUAAGUAUUUCUUUCAAGUAUUUCAAAUGGAUGAAUUAUUGUUCUGCGCUCAUUUAAUAACAAGCUGUUCCUUUUGAAUGCCUUCUUUAAAAGUAUUUUUCUUUUGAACUCCAUGAGAGGUGCACUCAAAUCAAUGUCUAUUAUUCUCUCCAUUUUCUAAUGUUCUUUCAAGUAUAUAUAUAUUUUCUGAGAGAAAGAUUAAAACCCAUUCCUGAUAUUUGCCUUUACCCAUUCAGACUCCAUUCCGCUCUGACGUUUCCUGAGUUCAGAAGCUAAUCACAAAGUAAUCAUCUUUCUGUUAAUGCGAAGAGGUGAAAGCUGCCUUUUGUCAUUGGUGGAAAUGUUCAUCUGUAUAACAUAAAUAAUGUUAUUAACUGCUUAAUUUGAAUUUCAGAUUUCUGUAAUUUGAAAUGAAUGUAUUUUCAGAUUUCCCUAUGUAGUUCCCAUUGCUCUCUUUAACGUACAUGAUUUCAGGUACCCUGGUUCUGAGCCCUUGCACAUACCCUUGUAAACAUAUAACAUUUUUGAUGUGUGGGUGAGAAUCUGUGGUGACGUAACAUGCUUUUUUUACAUCUUGUCUAUGUGCACGAGUCUGUUUAAAGUAGGAGGAAAAUGAAAAAUAUUAAUGGGGUCACUUAAAGAAUUCAAGUUUCUAUUUGUUAAAAAAUACAAAAAGGAAGUCAGAUAAUGCACUAAACUGGACCAGAACUUUGCAGGCUGAACUGCACUCUACUGCACCAUUCCUAUCUGCAACUUAAGCUGCGUCCAGCAUGAACUUGAAAAUGGAAACGGAUCAGCUUCCACAGAAUUUGGACUGGGAAAACUAUUUUGUUGAGGUUUCCGGUUCAAAUUGCUUCAAAAAUUUCUUGUUUCACAUCUUCCUUUGUUUCAAAUGGAAGUAAUAAACCCAUCCUUUUGCCUGUGAUUCCUGAACUCUCCUCAUAAAUGUAUAUUAUGAAUGUUUCUUUUUAGACAUGGAAAGCUACAAAUAAUAAUAUUUGCAAUUAUGAGUAGUACUUCAGAAUUAAAGAUGAAAGCACUUGUAGAAGCAGUUAAUUCAUUAUUCAAAAAGUUGUCAGUAGGCUCUAUUAAUAUUGCCUGAGAUAUUUUUUUUCUGUGGAGAUCCCAAAAACUUGUGCUGCUAGCUCACACCAGAGCCAUCAAGAGCUGUUCAGAUCAGUGAUUCUUGUUGCAAGAGAGAAAGUUAAUGCAAAAGGUAAAAAGAAAUAAGGUCAGUCAGUCCAACUACUUAAAUUCCUGCUUUGUUCCCUUGAAAACUAGUCCAGACACUUAAAUUCCAGUCUGUAUUACUAGAAAGAUCUCUGGUAAUUCAUAUUAAAUAUAACUGCAGUGUUUCCAUAGAGAUGAUGUUUAGCAUAAAAAUAGCUGAAACAUUUUGACAUUGAUUCUGAGGCUACAGUUCAUAACAUCUUAUUUUACUACUGCUACCCUCAGCAAUGCUGAAGUAUAGAAAUAAAUCCUUCUUUUCAAAUGGUGUAACAAAAUGUGUAAAGGUAAGAAAAAUUAGCAAAAUAAUAACUGACUCGCUUGUCUGUAAAUGGCUGUAUGCAACUUAGCUUCUUACAGCAGAGGUAUGUUAAAAUGAAAAUUUUAAAGAAAAUUUCCACAAAUUAUAGGUCUGUGGGGUCGGACAAGGGGAGAGAAAAUGUUAGUUAAUAAAGACAUUUGAGUUUUGUGGAAGAAGCGAGAAACAUUGAUUUCGGUUGGUUUGCAUUAUUGGCACUGACUGCAGGAAUAUUUUCAGUAUAGCUUAAGGUGUUUCUAGAGGUGAAACAAAAUUAUCUCCCUGAACAGUCUAGUGAGCAGACGAUGAGAACAGAGAGAUUUUUUGGGCUUCAUCCUAAAAAAGGAGCCAAAUCUGAUGAACGGAGGUGAAACUGAAGAUUCAGUGAUUAUAAUAUCAUUACACAGGAAAUUUAGUUUGGGCUAUUUGCAUUUCAUGGUAGAUUUUCAGUAAGGUAGAGUUGGAAUGGCAAGCAGAAGGAAAUCCAUAGAGUUAAAAUUAUGGGAUAAAGAAUGUCUCUCAGUCAGUAAGGGAUGAAAUGAACCCUGCAGCAUGGUGAUGCCAUCAAAAGGUAUAACCAGGAUACAAGGGGCUGUGGUCAGAUAGGCUCUUCUAGACUUUUGUAUUUAGCAGCUCAGGGCUUGGGGUAGAUCUGCUCUGCACACAGUUGCAGGUGCAUUUCAAUGACAAGAAACAUUUAAAUGGAUUCAACUGUGAUUAAAUAAGGAAUGAAAAAAGUUAGUGGGGAAGGAGGGAAGAGGAGACAGUUGUUCAUAUAUGCAGAUGGCCAACCUGAGUUCAUGGAUCGGCCACUUGAGUACAAGACCAGGAAUGGAGAAAUGCUGAAUUACUGAUGGAAGUACUUUACCAUAAUUUUUGCACACAAUCCAUCAUUUGUAUGCAUUUGAAAAGCCUGGGUGAAAUUUAACAACACAUACUUUGUUGAACCAUGCAUAGUUUCAAUCAGUUUCGUACAUGUACAAAUCAGGUGGGAAAUAGUUUAUACAGUUUGGGGUUGCUAUACUGCGCUGCAUCUCCAGUUGACUGUACCAAAGAGCUGUUUAAUUUGCUUGCAUUAAAUAACAUAUGUUCUCUCUUUGUGCCAAACACUAUACCAAACAUUUGCAUACUGCUGUCAAUAAUAUAUCCUUUAGGACUAAUGCCACGUGAUUUAAAUACCCACUCUCUGAAGCUCUUCUCGGUUUCUGCAAAGUGUAUUGCACAGAGACAGCUUAAGCCCAGUAACAAAUUGACUUUUCUUCCUUUUGAGUGCCGAAGUACCUCCAUAACUCAGGCUGUCAAAAAUGUACGUGGGUAUGUCAGCAAUAUACCACUGUUACUUAGAUGUGUUGGUUUUUUUUCAUUAUUUGCUUCACUUUCAAAAUGCCACUGUAUUCAAACUGAAACUCUUUCCUAAGGAAACAAAUGCACUUCCUUUUUAACUAUGUAUCCUGACUCAAGCUAAUAUCCUGCUGUGCACAACUCCCAAAACUUAAAAUUAAAUGGUUUUGGCUUCAGGACAGGAAGACAGUCAAGCCAUUAGUGGACUGUGCAGCUCAUUAAGGCACUUGACUUUCAUUCCCAAUGAGUGCCCAUGACCAGUGAAUUUCUGCAUCUGUGAAAUGGAUGCAGCCAUCUCCAAGGAACUCAUCAAGGGGGUGCAAAAAAUGUUAUGGGAUCCCUUGUUAGGAACGCUUCAACUCCAGUUUGUCCCAGCUCCAUUUCACUGAAGAAAGCAGGAGAGGUAAGCUUGUCUGGGGACCAGUGGGAAAUCCAGUUAGAAAAAGCAGGAGUUGGGUGAGCACCUCCCUUGAGUUGCUCCUAGGGACUGAAAUUCUAGGCGUGUGCUGACAAAAGACCUCAAAUACCUGUUUGACCAUAUGUUGUCCUCCUUAAAAGAGUUGUUUCUUACUAAAAAUAAUAAAAUACAUUUCAAAUAGAUAUUUUAAACAACUAUAAAUUCUAGUUUACAUGUUUUUGGUUUUUUUUAUGUUCUCUGCAAUGAUUUUGCUUAGUCUUCUGCACCUGACAUAUGCAUGCUUCUCAUGGCCUGUUAGAUAUUGUCUUAAAAAAUCAUCUCAUUAUUUUGCCUUUUGAGUGGCCAGAUUCUCACAGGGAGCUUAUUUCAUGUAAUGUGGAAGUUGUUGAGUGACUGUGCACAACUUCCACUGGAAGUCAGGUCUAAUCAAAAUAUAAUUAUUCUAAAUUGUCAAGAGGCUUCAGAAACAAUAGAAUCAACAUAGAGGCGGAAACCAACUGACUCAAUUUCAGACAUGAUCCUUGUGUCCUCUGUGGGAUUUUGGCCAUUUCAAAUUUAAUUCUCCCAAGGCUGUGGUGGGUAAGCAAGGGUUGGGGUCAGGUGGUGCUUGAAGCAAUUUGACAGCCUGGUCUGGUGCACUGCUAAGCAUUGCUGGGAUCCUGACUUAUUGCCAGGAUUGGUCAUUAUUGUAGCAGAGAUGCUGAUCUAGAAGACAGUGUAGUUCAGGUUGCUUUUUUGGCAAACCCUGCAAUUAAACACUGGAAGAAGCAAGAGACAACCUGGAGGAGAGAGGAUAUGCAUAUAGCAGGAGAUUUGCUUUAAGAAAAACAAUAAAAUUUCUCUGACAGGGAGAAAUUAUGGUCCCAGGUUAACAUCACAAGGAAAAUACAAUUAAAUGCAUCUUCCCAAUUGUUGAAGAGUUGGAUGAAGAAACAGAAUCGGUCACUCAGUGUUGGUGCUUACCUGAAUCCGAAGAAUCUUUGCUCAAUUUUAGCAUGAGAUGCUGGAUGAGGUGGAAGCAGAUCCAGGAAGUAUGAUUUAUUUGUACUAAAAAUAUGUGUUAUUUGACUUUUUUUGGUGGUAAGUUUUAGGUUUAAGCAAUACAGUACAAACUGUAGACACCUUGAAGUGUGGAGUUCUUAGGCAAAAAGUCUGAAAAACCUACUAGAUAAGGCUGAAAGCAAUGGUUUGCUGACUCUGUUUGGGCUCCAUGAAUUCAGCUUUUCCGGAAUUGAGGUGUGUGCUGGUUUCUAGUGAUCCUUGGUUAUCUGCAGCAACAAACAAAGCAAUUGUGAGAGGUUCAGCUGUGGAAAGCAUCAGAGCUGCAGGGUUUGAGGUGCUGGGGCUGUGGGUUUCCCCUCUAGUCAAGGAUUUCAAGAGAAAGCAAGAGAUCCAAGCAGUAAAGUUAGGGAAAAUUAUUCUUAAGUUUUUUUUUUCUAUUAACCUCAAAGAUUGCAAUGUGAUCAUGAACUGCUUUCAACUGAGCAAUAAGAAGCACUGUACCUAGAGAUGCACAGCCAUUUUUUCUCUUUUCUUUAUUAUUUUUGCUUAUGGUAAUGCAGUUACAGACAUCCAGAGCUCUUUUGAGAUAAUGCAGAGGAAACCCUGUAGGUACAGUGACAGAAAUGGCAAUUAUAGCAACACCGGAGCAGAGAUGUCUCCAUCAAUCACAUCAUGCUCAGGUGUUGGGAGAUUCAGAUUUGGAAAAGGUGCCCCAAGGGAGGGAGCCUCAGAAAGAAAAGCAGUGCUUGAAUGGGGCCGUGAGGAUCAAAUGUCUUUGCUACGUUAUUAAUAUCUGUGCUGGCAGAUGUAGGGAAAAAGCCUGGCACGUGGGAUAUGGAGCAAAUUAUGUACGAUGUGGUGCGAGAAAGGUGUGAGCCUUCAUGGGAUGAAAUAAAUGAAUUCAGAGAGUAUUUCUUAGGCUGGAGAAGGAAGUGAGACUCUGAAGGAAGUUCUGAGGAGCUCAUGUGAAUGGAGUUCUUCAAAACAUUGGGAGAUUUGUUAAUGAAAUGGGGAAAUAUCCAUAAAUUCUCCAGUUGGCCUAAGUGACAUACAUAGGACAAACAAACAAAUUUCUGUUAUAACUAGAUUGUGGAAUUACUUUCAAGAACAUUUAGUCCAUAAACCUGAUUUUGCAAUGACUACGGUAACUCUGUUAGCAGGCAGCUCCCUCCUGUUAGUGCAAGCAGCUCUGAGGGAUUGUGCCUUCCAGAAUAAGGAUAAUAACAAGACACACUGUCUUUAAUCUUAUGUUUUGAAGUGUCUUUUUUAUUAACAAAUUGCCAUCGCUUGUUUUUAAAGCGGCAGUCAGCAAUGAUGAAUCUCACAAGCCCAGGGCUAUCGUUAAAGCAGAGACAGUGACCUUCUUCUUACUUCAUUUGCAGGUUCAGCCACUGCAGACUCCCUUGGGAUGGAAGAUUGUUUCCAUGCCAGUCUUGGGAAGCUUUACAGCUCCUGGUAUCAAGGGAGAAUGUAGGCGGAGCAGUAUGCAUCUGAGCUUCAGGGAGAGCUAAGAAUACAGCAUACCCAUUCACCAUGGAUCCUGAUUUAUUCUUUCCUGGAGGAAAGUUCUCAGUUCAACAGAAACGGCUGUCAAGGCAUUUGCAGACUUUCCUGCUUUGCACAGAAAUUAAUGCAGCUGUUCCUGACUGAGCUGAAGAUGACCACUUCCAGAGAAGCCCUAUCCAUGCCCAUCCAAAAGUCCCCAUCUCCAUGUGAGCAAACAGCUGCAGGUGUUUUUUAAGCAUCUGAAGUACAACUGCUGUUGUGCAAAUGAUUCUCCUGGAAAAUGUGAAAAAAUAGAUGAUUCUGGAGGGAAGAAAGCUGAGGCAAGGAGGAGGAACAGAAAAGUAGGACUAGGACCUAAAGGACCAAUCCUUCUGCAAGUUGCCUUAUAUACAUUUUCAACCACAAUCCAAAUGGUCACAAUCCCAUCAGACCUCAUGUGCUCAUGGAGCGCUGCAGCUACUAUGUAUGGAAUCAAUCAUCCAGGAAGCAAUGCUGUAGCCAUUGAGGACUCCUUCAGACCAAGGAGAAGCUGAAGUCUGGGAGUGACCUGUCAGCAGUGAAAAGGGUUUUUUCAUAAAGUCGACAGGUAGAAGGUCCCAUCAGAAUGAUUGCUCCUUCAGAAAAAUCCAUUAAUUAACACUUGUCAUCUGUGACAGUCACAGGUAAUUCUCACACUGACAGGUCUUUGCAUGCGACAAAUGGAUUCCCGUUAUUCCUUUGACAACUGGACCAUGAAAUCUAAUUUUGCCAGGACAGUAAAUGGUAUCACUGUUUAUGCCAGCUUUUGAAAUUCAUCAAAAUGAGCAGAAUGUUCCUGCAGAUGGAGGAGGAAGAAGCUACAGUGCACGAGGAGCACGGGAUUGCUCUUCUCAGGACAAAGAGCAUCUUUCUGAUGAAUAGCAGCAAGUAAUUACAGUCAAUUGGUCUCACUGGAUGAAGUUUGAGGUCACAACAAAAAAAAAGAAAAACUAAACCCAAACCCAAUAAUUCUACAACAAUUUUACUGACUGCUUUUUAGCCACAAGGAGUUAAUAAAUUAAUGAAUGCUUAAAAAACAACAGAACACAGCAUUUCUAUCCCUCUCUACUUACUGUUGGUGCAGCCUCAUCUUGAAUAUUGUCUGUCAUUCUGGUCUUCACAACAUAAGAAAGGAUGUUAAGGUCCGUGAAAGCAUCCAGAGGAAGGCAACAAUGCUGUUUAAAGAACUGGAAGAUAUAUGCUAUCAGGAGAGGCUGAGGAUGCUUGGGUUGUCUAGCAUUUGGAUAAUGCUCUGACUGAUAUACUUUAACCUUUGGUUAGCCCUGAGAAGGUCAUGUAGUUGGAAUGGUCCUUUGCCCCUUCCAACUGAAGCAUUCCAUUCUAUUUCUUGAAGAAUUUAGUGUUCUUAAAUGGGGACAGGCAAGGAAGUUUUAUGCAGGUACUGAAUUAACAGUGAUGUAAGUAAAAAUUCAAGAAAAAUAAAUUGUAGUUUGCAAGGUCAGAUUUAUGUGUCUAAAACCAUAUAUAUAACAUACAUACAUUGCUUAGACACUACAAUUGCAAACAUCCCACCAACGACUGAGAAAAAUUCACACCCUGUUGAAGCUGAUGAAAUUUUUGUCCUUGGUUUCAGAGAAGCCAGGAUUGCCUUUCAGAAGUGUAUGCAUUUGUGCUUGACUUGGGUGAGCUUCAGGACAUUCAGGAAUAACUCUGCUCUAGUUUGUGCAGUCUUCCCAAGACUUAAUUAUCUUUGUUGUUUCAUCAGCACUGGCUUUUUCCCUCAGAUAACUUGGUCAGAUGUGUUCUGGAAUGCCUCCAAUUCUCAUUUCAAUUUUUGACAUGCAACUGAGCAUAUGCUUUUGAAUCUCUUGAAGAACAAGCAUAGCACAAGGGCUGAAAUAAGGCUCAAGCACGUGAUGGAAAUGGCACAGACAUGAGCUUCUUUGCACCGAUAACACUGCUUUUCUGUACAAGUUUAUAUUUCAAGAUGCGUGAUGUACGCAAUUGACAUUAAUAACUGUGGGAUAUUACAUGGUUAUUCUGUAAAUAGAGAUAAUAUUUACUCUAAAAGGUGAGAUCUAAUUCGUAGCAGAGCUCUCCUGAGGAUUUUUCUGAAGGACAAAUGUAGAGGCUUAUCCUAUCUAUUCAGAGGGGAGUGAAAAUGGUGCAGUAGGAUGAAAAAGUUCUUCAGAUACAAUUGUGAAGUGACUUUCUGCUGUAUGACUUCUCAGUAACUGAUUCUGUUUUCCUUCCUCACCUAUUUCUUGAUGUGCAUAUCUACACUGGUGCCUUGCAGACAGGUGUUCUGGUGCUACAUGGUACUUCAGAAAAAACUAAUGAUACAACAGUAUACUACUCCUACAAGACAGCUGAUGCUGGAUUUGAUAUAUAUUUCUACUUUAUCAGUAUACUAAUGUCAGUGCUAUCUCUCUUGCACCUACCAUCAUAGUUAUCAGCAAUUCCUGUAAUACUUGGUUUCACUAUUCCUUUCCUUGUUGAUUAUUUCUACAACUUCCAAGUUUUACCAGUGUUGACUUUAUUAUAUUCCAUAAGAUAGCAACUUUCCACUUUAUAUUUUAGAAUUUCCUGCUGCUGGGGUUGUAGCAGCAUAUGUAUCUUAUAUGUAUCAGGCAUAAGUGUACUGCUGCCUUCCUUGAUUGAUGUACUGUUAUCUCCUGUAAUUUGUUGAAUCUUGCUUACUUUCUCUCCCCCUCUGUUUUCAUGAACAGGAGAGACUGGCUACUUCUCUCCCAUAAAAAUACUUUAUGUAUCAAUCAAUGUUAUAUGUGAAUUUGGUCUUUACAUCAGUGAAGUGUAGUGUGUGAUGAUGUUCAGAGAAUGUCUAAAACAGCCUAAAAGUUUGUUCCAACCUACAGCCCAUAGAUAUCCAUUUCCCCCACUUAUAUGAUGUGUGUGUGUGGUGUGUUAUUGAUUUACAGUGCUCUAUCUGAGCAACAUAAGUGCUCAAGUUACCCCAAAGUAUUUUAGAAAGCAUUUCUCUUAAUCCAACUUUGAUUUGUGUGUGUUCACCUUAUUUUUGUACUCAUUAAUGCUGUUUUAUAUUUUUUUUUGUUUAGUUGUGAUGUUCUUUAUUUUACUAGAAAGGUGGGUAAUUUUUCUUGCCUUUAUAUGAGAGAUGUGAGUGGAUUAAAAAAAAAAUUAUGAAUAUUAAGUCAAAAAUAGAAUAUUGCGCUUGCCCCAACCUGUUUUUCAUUUUGCCAUCUGCAAGCCUUUUAAAAUAUCUGUACUGUGGGAAGAAGGCAUUCAUUUUGCAAAGGCAGUUUUUCAAUUAAGUUUCUUGAUCAAACUUAGCUAUUCAGGACUUUGCUGUCUCAGAAAAGAAAGAGACUUUAUUGAAAAUCAUAUUCUUUGGAAAUUCUAGAAAUACCUAUUACUCAUAUCAUGCAAAGGUUUUCAAUAUAUUUCUGAAAUUCACCCUAAGCCCUGACAUAUGUUUCGAGGCUUUUUUUGAGACAGUGUUGUGAUUUAUCUUAGAGGUAAAUCAACCAGGUAAGAAGAACAAAGAAAAAAGGACUUCUGUAUGUAAUCUUUUUUUACUUUCUUGCAUUUUUUUGUAGCAUUCAACCAGGCUUCCAGGUGUUCGCUGUAUCAUAUCAAAGAUGUCUAAAAAUAUAUCAAUUAAGAGAGUGCUGAAAAGCAGAAGAUAUUAGGAAUUCUCUGAUUAUUUUUCUGCAUGAUGAAGGUUUCUGAGAGAGAGCAUCUAGUUUUCUUCUAGGGCAUUUGGGGUUAAAGAUGUUUUUAAUAAACUGAGGGAGAAUGGCUAACAGUAGAAGUAAAAAUAAAUAUGUUUUAUAGAAUUAAUCAUGUCUAUCUAACAAAAUGGGAAAAAGAUGUUGGAGAGAUAUAGAAGAGCUGGAUGAAAUGGUAGGAGGAUAAAAGAGAAAAGUGUUGCUAGUAACAAGUUCUUAUACAUUGGAAGAAAUGAUUUGAAACACACAGUUACCUUUAAUAAGGUUAUCAUAUGGUUAAUAAAUUUGGAGUGGAAAAAUGGCCUGGCAGUGCUGGAUGCACAAUAAAGUAAGGAUUUUUUUGUCCAUUUUAACGCCACUUAGAAAAAUUAACAAUGUUUAGACAGCUCAUAGAAAGGAAAUAGAACCCCAUUUAUUAUAGCUUGUGAAUCAGUGGUGGACCAUUUUCAAAUCAGAAAAUAAUUAAGAAAGGUGAUACUCAUACUUUGGUGAUAUUUGUGGUAAAGAAGAAUUGAAAUUUCUCAUACUUGCUAUGUUUUAUAAUUUAGGAGUCAUGGGAGACCCAAUCUGAACAGCAGCAAGAGUAAGAUCAGUUAAAGGAUAUCUUUUGCAAUGACAGUGGGAAAUGUAACAGAUUUAGGUCAGAGGCAGAUUCAUAAUCCUACUGUCUGAAACCUACUCUUUAAAUCUAGGACAGACAGUCAUUCUCAGCAGCACGUGCAACAUCACAGAUGGUCAGUGAAAGGUUCUUUCACUUUUGCAGCCUCUGCCAUCUCUUCCAGGUCUUGUCAUGACCUCAGUCCUUGAGCAUGUUUCUUCCACCUGCGCGCCAGGUCCUUCUGGAAUCCAGUCACAGAAGAUGCUAGUUGGCUUGAUCUUCUCUAUGAGGAUAUGAGAUUAUAUGCUAUUGUGAGUGUCCCUAUUUCUUACAAGCCUUAAUGUUCAACUUCCCCUAAAAAAGAUAUAUUUUUGUUUUGAUGACAAUACAACAAUACAGUGUUUCUUCAGCUGCAACAGAAGCUCCUGUUCUUUCAUCCUGUGAUGGCAAUACAUAUUGAGGUAAAAUUGCUCCUCCGGUGAGCUGGUGAAAAUAAAAAGAGGUAAAGAGAUGUUGAGAUUUCUGAGAACUUACUAACAGCUGCUGGGGUGAGUUUUUCCUUAUGAUCUUGAUCACCAGAUCCUUAGACUUAAUAAGAAUCAUGGCUCAUGAGUAUUUCUUGAUUCUUGAUUUCUAGUAUUUCUUGACUACUUUCUAGUAUUUCACAACUGUAAUUUCUCAUACUGCAUUUAUUAUUUUUUUUUAAGUCAUGUAUUGAAUUGUUGGAGUGAACAUGGCUAUUUGAGAUCAGCCCUUGAAAGAAAUCGGGUUUAAAUUCCACGUGAAGAAUGUUUUCCUGGUGUCAUGCAACUUGAGAUCAUCUAAUAUGUUCAGCUGCUAUUUUUAGACCCUUCUCAAAUACUUUACAUCCUUGAACAUCCAAAGAGAUUUGUUAAGCAAAUAGACAAAAUACCAGUAUAUACUUUAUGAAUGCAAAGUAGAAAGAUCCUUCAAACCAAAGAGUUAAUCUGUCAUUAUUAGAACAAACUACAUUUUAUAUGCUUGGGAUAGCAUUUUCAUCCACAGCUCUUGAUCAUUACUUACCACUGCUAUUAAUUUUGACUGGUUUGAGUGGACAUUCUGUAGUUUUGGAAAAAGCUCUGCAUGGCUUCAUACACUUCCUAGCGCCAUUCCUAAAGGGCCAAAAUAUAUGUAUUUUUACUUUUUUUUACUUUUAAAAAAAUUACUUUUUAAAAAAUUAUUAUUGUUGCAGAAUUAACUUCCUUUAGAACUAUGUAAAAAGAAACAGCUGCACGUUGAAUCUGCUGCUGUUGCUUACUUUCCCCUUUGCCUCAUAUCAUACCAUCUUUUACCAAUCAAAUUUAAACGUCUUUAUGUUAAUCUGUUAUUUUACAUCAAAAUAUUCGUAGUAUUGGUCUACAUUCUGGCAGAUCGCUUUAGAAUGUGAGUCAGCAGGUAGGGUUAUGAGUAUGGAUAUGGAACCAGGGAAUGCGGAUCACGUUGUUUUAUCAAAUCUAAGUCUUCAUAAUUGAUGCCUUUAAGAGAAAUAAUGAAACAGUUAAUCAACUUUUACAGCCCCUUGACCAUCCUAACUUUCAGAGGUGCCUGAAUACAUGUAAUAUAAAGAGCUGAUACUCUUUCCCCUUGGGUUAUCUUUCAAAAGGCAUUUGUCUGAUUUGUUUCAUUGAGUCUUUACCCCAUUCAAAGACAUCCUGUGUUUCAGGAAGACUGUAAAAUCGUAGAAUAAAUUUUAUUCUAGUAUAUCUUGCC
ensembl:lncRNA